UAAGUGCUAAAUUUUGCAUUUAUUAUUUUACAGUUUCAGUUUUUUUUAAUUGAUGUCUUUUUAUUAAUUUCCUGUUUUAAAAAACUUGAUGUCAGUUGUCAGCUGUAAUAUUUAUUUUGAUGAGGCAGAUAAUUAUUGAUACAUGGCAGAUAAAUGGACAUUUUAUGCAUUGCAGUUUUCUGAAUGGAAAGGGCAAUACAAUUCUUGUGCUAUUCAAUCCCUGCUUUUAAGCUCGAUUUUACAUUACACAAAUAUUUUGGGAUAUAGGGCCACAAUUCUUUGAUUUUUGCUGUUAGAAAAUGUACCAAGAACUGCAAGCCCCACAUGAUGAAAUGAUUCUGUGAUCAGUUAUUAGAAUAAAUUAUAUAUCUUAAUCAAGAAAUUUUUAAGUAAUAUUUGUUAUACAUGGUGUUUCAUAACGUAUGCAGUUAAAAAAAAAUGCAAUAAAUCAGCCUAAGUUGAAGUACAAUUCAAAUGUCUUAUUUAAUUUCAUUUAACAUAUACUCCAAUUUAAAAAUUAUAAAAUGAUAUCGAGCAUGUGUCCCCCUCCAUCUUCUCUGCAGCUUUGUUGAAAUUAAUGAUAACUCUUCUGCAGACGUCCCUAUUGAUUUCGCCAAUUACCGGUUGAAUUUUCCUCUUCAGUUUGGCAAUCAUUUGAGGUUUGUUCUUGUGACUUUGGUGGUCGCCACUGUGAAGCGAGAUCAGUCUCUGCGUAGCACUCCAGUUUUUUUAAUGAGUUUUUACAGUAAGAAUGCAUCGCUUGAUACUGAACUGCUCCAUGGCUACAAAAUGGAAAAAUGACAUAUGGUCUUUAAAUCAGAGUGAAAAUAGAUAACAAAAAUGAUAGGACCAGUGCUAACAAUCUUCAAACAAAAAAAUCCUAUGAAAUUAAAAAACUGCAUACUCUAUGAAACACCUUUUAGUGUAUUCGGAGGCAUUUAUCAAAUAGGAAAUAUACUGGAGAGAACCAUGAAAAAAGAAUGCAAGAGGAACUGAGCAUACUCUUUGCACUAGCCUUCUUAUGUUAUCAUUCAGAAACUGUUUAAGCAACAAGACAAUGUCAAGAUAAGGAUGGUGCUCAUCUCAUCUUGCUGCAUUAACUUCCCAACACUAUGGCAAGGGUGAGAAACAUUGUACAUAUGAUAUGGCCUGGCAGGUGGGACUCAAAAUUCAGUAAAUCUAGGACCUUUUUUUUUUUAUAGCAAUAUAUAUAAGUGAAUUGUAAUAAUAAUUGAAAUUUUGAGCAAGAAAAUGUCUAUUUAGGGAUAGACAAGACACGUAUGCUUCUUGCUGGCUGCCUAUAUUUUGGUGACUUGGAGGACAGUUGAUGUCAGGUGGAUUGAAAAAAUGAAAGUACAGCUUGACGAAGUAUAGCAGGCUAAUUUUUAAGUUGAGAAUUUUGUAUGGCCUAUGAAUGACACGAAUAUCCAUGUGGCCUUUAGAGGAAAAACAUUUCUCCACCCUGCUCUAUGGAGUCAGAUACCCAUUUCCUGACAGCUGGGUUGAUUGGGGGAAGCUUGCUGCACCACACAGGUAUUAACUGGUGUGCUUACUCUGUGAAGACUAGAUGAUGCAGCAUAACCUUGUAACUAUUAUUACUGACCUCCAAGUUGACAUGAUCUUCACAUAUUGAAAACUAUACCUUUGUUUUUUUACCGUUGAAUUUACUUUUUUCUGCUUUUAACAGACCACUUUCACAAUGCCUUUUUAUUAUAAAAAAUUACCUGAUAGCACUUAAAAGCCACAUUUAAAUUAAAGUUUAAGAUUUUUCUUUUGGGAAAGUUUAUUAUUCAGUAAAGACUUCUAAUAUUAUUCAUUUUCUUGUCAGAAGUGGCCAGAAAGUUGUGCAAGUGAAGAUACAGUUGCCACACAGCUCAAUAUUUCAUUGUUUUCAAAGGCUGAAUCAAGCCUUACAUGGUUUACAACAUUAAUUUGUCUGUGAAAAAUGGAAGAAAGGACACACCAUGUACAGUUCCUGUUUGCAAAGUGACAUUAAAAUGUGCAAAAAUAA